UAAUUUUUUUAGCAGAUGACCUGAGAGUCUGAAUGCAUUUAAAAGGUUCUUAGCAGGUCUUCUAUGCAUGCUUGUUUUAAAAAUGACAAGUACAUUUAGAGUUGGGUAACUUUUUUUUGCCAGCUGAAGCACAUUAAUCACGGCAGCAAUUACUCACGACGACACUGUUUGCUUGCUUCGAUGCAACUGCUGACUUUUUCUUAGGUAGCUUCAAUCAUCGACUUGUCAUCGCGGACUCGAGCGAGCCAACGUUUAGGCUGUAAUGUGCUAAUGGCGAUCUGUGCAUUUGGUAUCGGAGCCUUCGGUGCAAUUAGAGAAAAGGCCAUUUGACAGCAGGCAAAUGCACAUCAUCAAAAUCAAUAUUGUUCUAAUAACAUGUCAAGAAAAUACAUCAUACUCACCCACAGCUGCUGAUUAUCAAAUGUUUGCAUAUUGUAUGUUUUUCUGCUCGAACUUGGCUUGCUUUCAAUAAUCAAUCAGAGGAUUUUCUGUGAGGUGAAUUUGAAAUAAGAUUGGUUAAAGAAUCGGCAUCAAGUAGCUUUUUAUGGUAAGAAGGAAUACAAAAUCUGCUCCUCAGUCGUCUCAUAAAUCGGCAAAUACGCUCUUCCUAAGAAUGUACUCAAGAAGAAUCACUUCCCUGUGUCGUAUUUCACGAAAAUGAUUAAAGGGGGAAAAACAAAAAAAUGUGUGUCCUCUCCUCAGCCAUUUUGAUAGCAACACUAAAUGCAUCUCGGUGUAUUUUCCCAGCCAACUUCAAAAGCCGGCAGCCAAUGCAAAGCUAGUAGACAAGAAGAACAUCUGCGUCUUUGUAUUCCGCGCAUUCUUGGUUGAUGCAUACUUUCGAUUGGAACACAACUUGAGUCGCGAUUGAUGAUGUUUCGCAAGAUCACAAAGCACGGACAAGAAUGAAAAUGGAGAAAGUGAAGCUAGACUCAUUGCUAGCUUGUCACCUACAGGAGUCUAUACGUGCUUUUUAAGGGUGGGCGGUGUGCUGGAUUGGCCCAACAACACACGGCGAGUGACAGUGAUGAAUGAAGCCUUUGCACGCACUCAUCCCCUCGCAUCGCAUCAUCGCGGGCCAAGGAGGCGGACCGGAGGUCACAAGCCCUGGGUGGAGGAAUGAGAACACCAGGCUGAUAAUAACUGGCCUAGUUGGAAAUUGGGUGCACCUCUCAAGUUUGCCCACUAGGCCAGCUCUUCGGGAUAGCCGCCACGAGGAGGCCGCUCGCUUCGGUUUCACUUCCAAAAAGUGCACUCGGCAGACCCUUCCAACCCGAAGACGGCAGCUUGCGAGCAGACUCUCGCAGGAGGUCAGUGGAGGCGUUAAACGCUUGGUGCAGCCAGCAGCUUGGAUCUCAAUAGCUUGAUUGUGUUAUAAAGAGUCGUGUAAUCAGUCGGAAUGAAGAUGCAAACAGAAGAUAGAUGGAGAAUGCAAACCGGUUGCCAAGUUUGGACUUUUGGAGGACGAUCAAGUCAUUUCGUCUGUCGAAACAUGUUUGUUUUUAAUAUACCCGCGCCGGCAAAAUUCUUGGUACCCUUCCCUUUAAAAAAAACAAAAAAAACCCAACAACUGGCAGCGCAUCUGCUCUACUGUAUGUGAUAGACACUCAAUAUUUCAGGCCAGAGCUGUGGUUUGAAUCCCAAAAUUAGAACUGCGAAGCAGGCAUGCUAACCACUAACGCACCAAACCGCCUUAUUAUUUUCUACGGAGAAAAAUAUUUUCAUAAAUCAAACGAUUGUGGACUUUACUUGCUCACAGGUCUUGUGUCAGUCAUGUUUCAGGAAACCAUAAAAAUGUUGAAGUGCUUCCGUGUGUCCAUCACGUUCUUCUGUUGUCAGAAAGAACCUACCUGAAUAACCCAGUCCUGAAGAUUUAUGAGCUUCCCCACCCGACUGGGGCCCCCUUGUUAAGGCUCCUGGCUGUCUUUGACUUCCUUGCUGUCAACUUCCUUUUGCUGCAUCUAUCUCCUUAACUUGUCUCCUCUCAUAUCUCUUUCACCCGUUCUCCCCAAAAAAUAUUUGUGCCAGACUUCCUGGCCAGCUGUUUCUGCAGACAGGGCGUCUCCUCUCGAGCCUGCGGCGACGGGAUGCUUCUCAACACCUCUGUCUUCUGUCCUCACCCCGGAGUGACCCGGACGCCGCCGCGUGACGUGAAGCCACCCACGUACGCCAAGCGCUGGAUGGAUGCUAACACACCA